GCCAGAGCUGACCUCUGUCCUCAGCUCCCAUCACCAGGAUUCCAGCGGAGCAGUGUCCAGCUGAGGCCACGGGUGUAGGUGAGGAGGGGAGGGCUUUGGUAGUCCAGGCGCCCCCAGAAAGACACACCUGGGAGGCUCACUCUGCCCAUGAACUCUGGGCCCAGGACAGGUGCCACCCUCACCCCCGCUGACACUGGGCUGGGCUCUCGUCCCAGGGAUCGGCCAGCUCCCCCGGGAUGGACACAUGCCUCUGUCCUCGCUGUCACCACGGGCACGGACCAGUCGUGCCUGGAGUCUCCCCUGUGGGCAGUGUGGAGAGCAGGCCCAGCACCCAGCCCCAGCUGACAGUCAGCUCCCUCGUGACAGUCGGCUCUUCAUCCACAGAAUGAGGGGAGUGGCGGGAACCGUGGGAGGCAAGACGAGAGGACGACGUGAUGCGAUUCCUGUGGGGCAGGCCGGGAAGGCGGCAGGUGCUCGGUCAGUGCCAGCCCCUGACGCCUCCCCAUGCUGCUGGCACCGCAGAGCUGCGCUUUGCCCUGGGAAACGGCCAUCUCUGAGCUUCACCGGAACCUGGAAACCGUCACAGAACCUAGGAACCCAUCACAGAGCCUGGAACCCACCACAGAGCCUGGAACCCAUCACGGGGAGCCUGGAACACAUCAUAGAACCUGGAACCCAUCACGGAGCCUAGAACCCAUCACGGAGCCUGGAACCCAUCACGGAGCCUGAAGCCCUGAGCCCGGAGCACCAACGUUUGCGAGGUUGUCUGGGGUAUUGUUGCUUCUUUGGUUUUCCAUAGAUAUUUUUGAGACAACUUGUAAUUUCUACAAAAACAAACUCCACCCGCAUUUCGUUUGUGUUAGUUCUGCUCUAGAGAUGUAUUUGUGGGGAACCAGCGUCUUAUGACAGACUUUCCAAGAGGAAUAGGAUGCACCGCCUUCUUUAUUUCUCCUUUCAUUAUUAAUAACACAGUAGUAUUUAUGAUAGGGGUCAAACAUGAAAUAAAAAUAUAAUUAAAAUACUACA
rnacentral:lncRNA from 1 species